rnacentral:rRNA from 1 species
GGGGGUGUCUUUAGCGACGGGGCUCCACCUGAUCCCAUCUCGAACUCAGUAGUUAAGCCCGUCUGCGGCAAUCAUAGUGCCGGGGUAGCCCGGUGCUAACCUAGCGCGAUGCCCCCA